AACGCACAUUGCGCCCCUUGGUAUUCCAUGGGGCAUGCCUGUUCGAGCGUCAUUUGUACCCUCAAGCUAUGCUUGGUGUUGGGUGUUUGUCCUCUCCCUUGCGUUUGGACUCGCCUUAAAGAAAUUGGCAGCCAGUGUAUUGGUAUAGAAGCGCAGCACAAUUUGCGAUUCUAGCUAAUAAUUACUUGCAACCAUCAAGUCUAUUUAACACUUUUGACCUCGGAUCAGGUAGGGAUACCCGCUGAACUUAA
rnacentral:misc_RNA from 2 species